GACUCACAAACAUGGACCGUGGUGAAGCCAGGGUCAGAUAGCCUGUCUUGAAGUCCUGAGUCAGGUCUGAGGCUGUAGAUACAAUAUUCAUCAUGACUCCACAGGCAGCUAAACCAGCAAGAAUUCCACCAUGUGAGGGACCGGCCCAUGCCCCAAUCAUGAAGAUGGUGAGCUUCCCAUAUGUCGAGGGAAGAGACCAGUCGGUGAGCCCACAGCCAUAGGCAUUGCAGAAACCCAAGGUUGGAGCGGAGAGAUAGAUGACUAAAAUGUAAUACCAUUUGAGUUGGGGGAAUAUGUGCGGAAGAGUAGCUGUGGAUAUGGCUGCUAUUGUGACAUACCCUGCAACUGCAAACCAUGUAGGGAUUUGAUCUUUUAGGAAAAGCUGUGUCCGCCGUUGGUCAUCAUAAGACACUUGAGGGUUAUCAAGAGAGGAACCAUUCGUAAAAGGGAGGACAUGGGUCAUUUCUCUGUCUCGGAGCUGACGGUACAAGUCACAGAGCGUUCGGCUAAGCACCUUGAAGAAGUUGUAGAGCCCAUCACCCAAUAUCGUGGCAAUGGCAAUGAAAACCUGACAAAUUGGUAUUGUAAGAUUAGAGGAUAAAUAAAAUACAAGCAAACUUGCACGUUUGCAAGUGCAUCUUGACUUGCCUUAUAACCUUGAAGUCCGCGCAUGCUGGUUGGGCUUUCCUCUGCAGGAUACCAAUGUCCCUUUCUGGUUUCUAUUAGGGGCCACAUUAUACCCCAGGAUAGAAUUCCUCCUAGUAGCACUGAGAUAUUUAUGAUGUAUGGGCAAAUCAUUCCGACUCCAACAUAUGUUGUGGAGAAAUCAAAGUAAAACCUUCACGUUAUCCAUGUAAGAGAGUCAGCUAAUAGCUUUGCAUAUUAAAGUGCAUGACAUCGAAGUAAAGGGCAGCUUACAACCCAAAACUAGUUGCAGGCUGUAAAGUGGAAGUUUGUUAAGCUUAAACACCUGUUUUGGAAAGCCUUAAGCCCCAAAGUAGGGAAUUUUGCAAAACCACAAUCAUCUCCAGCUCUGUAGAACCAUUGGAAAAAGCCCCACAAGAAGCUGAAGGAGAAGAACUUUCCCAAAGCUUUCACUUGUUUCCUUCAGGAGAAAAAUUAAAGCCGAUGAGAACCAACAUAUUGACACACAAAUGAGAAGACUUUCCAGCUUGUAGUGUCUUACUUAGCUAGCUUGGCCCCUUCAGGUGUGUGGAAACUAUUUAUAAGAUGAGCAGUUGCCGUGCCACUAGGAUACGUUAAUUUGAAGUCAAUAAUCAUAAUCUGAAACCAGAGAAGGGCAAGCAUGAGUGAAUUACUCUAAACGGUACAUGCAAGCCCCACACGUUUGAUUUCUCAUGUCGAAAGAGAAUCUUUUCAAGUGCAGUGUAUUAUGGAGAUUAAUUGGCAAUCACUAUAAUUGCCACAGAAAAAAAACAUGCAACAUGCAAAGAGUACCUUUCGGAGAGGCACCACAGCAAGGAGGCCAAGGAAACUGACAACAAAUAGAAAACCAAUCAUCCACAGCAGUGAUGGAUUUUUGUAAACAUGAGCACUCUGCGUAUCUGUUGAUUGAUUAGCAACUCGCUCAUUCAUUGCAAAGAGAUAACUCCCGAAACCUCCUGCUCAUACAAAAUCAUAGAGCACCACAUUUUUCAGUAAAUAGCUCUAGCUAUUCAUCCAAAAAUGAUACGCAAGUUUACAUCUCUUAUAAUUACUUUCUUCCAAGAAAAGUUUAAUCAAAUUCAAAGAGAUUAUUAUUGGAUAGAAAGUCACUGUUAUUUCUAACACGCGACAAAGGGAGGUCAAUGACUAAAGGCAGACCACUUCAGUUGAAUAAAUAUUCCAUAUGAAACAGAAGCAAGAGCCUUUCUAUCUUUUUUGUUGAGAGAAGCAGAUGUUUAAUUACUACUUUCCAGUCAAUAUAUUUUUCUCUCUUUUCCAGCUGAAAUACUUUUCAAGCAACUGAAACGACAGUAAACACAUGACAAGAAACUGGGAAAACGAAUUGAAUUGAACAAGCAGUGGUCUGGCCCAAAGAAAAAGCAGUGGUGACAAUAGGCAAACUCGCUAUGUGCAACUGAUUUUAUUUGGAGAUGGUUAGCUAAUGAGCUUGCAGUCAAACUUAGGAGAGGUUCCUUCAUUUUUGCAUAGUUGCAUCCAUAAAUCUGAAUUAUCAACUUCAAAAGAAUACAUGAACAUUAUCUCUGCAUACCCCUUGAGCUCAUGGCAUUGGUUAUCAUAGAAUAUGUUCCCAGAAACAUAUGACCUCAAAUAUGCACAUGAAAUUAGUGUACUGACUAUUCAAUAUAGUUAUGGCCAAAUGCCCUACUUUGUGUUGUUUACAUAGAAACAGCCAUCCUACAUGUCAUCUGUGUAUAUGCAGAGCAGUUCAAUUAGAAUCCAUGAGAUUGACAUUUUUCUGGGUAACCGGCGUUUCUGUGCAAAAGAGGCAAUCCUUCGUUUGGACUUAAGAAUUUUGGCGUUCCCGGAACCUUUACACCUCCAUAAAUUUCCCGAGUAAAAUAACAGCGCUCCCAAUAGACAGAAGUUCCAUAAUGACAGGAUAAAAUUGGUGGAUUAGCAUUUAAAAUUCUCUUUUCGUCAUCUAAUUAUGAAUGCUUCCAAAUUUUUCUGGCUCCAAAAAUCAGCGUCUACAGAGCUGCAAGGGCCGUGCCGCUUUCAAAGGCUCUAAAUUGUGGACUAAGAAGCAGUUCAGCUUGAGCAUCAUUCACGGUGGACCCCGAUCUAGAUAAAAGGAUAGCCACAGCCUGAGGAAAUCUUGACUGCUGACUCGUAGACUUCUAUAAUUUUAUUCCUUUACAGAAGACACCAAGGAGGAAAACUUAGAAAAUUCUAUGCUCAUAUCCUAAAACUCUGAAAAUACCCAUAUAUGGAUCCUAAUUGAUUCUCCACUGAACAGUCGAUGAAGUAGGACCAAAUCAAGAAAAGAAGGGAAAAAACAAAUGAAAGAUGACACCAGAAAUUCGCGUGAGUUGAUUCCAUUGAAACCCAGGAUUCCUUCCUCAAUUCAGCAUAGGCUCAAGUGCAAGAUGGUGCUAUUGGAAAUUUUUUAUAAUAUGGGCUUAUAUUAAUUAAUUGAUUUUAUAUUUUAAAUAAUGGGAUUAAUGGAUAUUCAAAUAUUUAUUAAACCUUAAGUGAUUUUAUUGAACUGGCUUUUAGCAUCUAUUAAUGACGGGCCUAAUUAAGCAUCAAAGUAUAUGCAAUAGUGUUUAAUUAAAACCCAUAAUAGGAGGGCCCAUUUGACAUACUAUUGAUUAGGGUUUGCUAAAUCCUCUCUCUAACUUAUAAAAUGACAGGUUAUACCUAUCAGUUACUUAAUCCUAUAGAAAACUGCUGUACUGAAAUAGGUCAUUGAGAGAAAGAUCUUGGCAUUCUAAUAGAUUUCUUCAAAUGAAGCAAUGGCUUAAACAUGUAUAUUUUAAUUUCGCUGUACUUAUUAAUUUUGGUGUUUUACAGUUAUAUAUAGAUCUGAUUGUUCUUGAUUAAUUAAUUAUUUAUGUGAAUAAUUUUCUACAAGUGCUUGUUCUGGUUGUGGUUACAGUGAUGACUUUGGGCAAUUCACCAGACCGGAGGAUAGAACAACUUAGGAGAAGCCAAAAGGUACGUAAGGAUGAGAAAUCAUGUACGCUUAGUUUCAAUUAUAAAUGACAGAGAGCAAGUCAGCAGACAAAGCUGCUAAAGCAGAGCACUUCACAGUUCGCGCUAUCUCAAAUUGCAGCCCAAGAGAGAAAGACAAGCCAACGUACCGCUGAAAGCGAUGCCGGAGGACGCCACCACGCAGGUCUGGAUCACCGUGUUCUCCUGCCGCGUGAAGGGGACCCGGAGCAGCCCGGACUUUUCCAGGACCUUGGUCCACGUCUUGACGAAGAAGAACCCAAGGAGCCCCGCCGAGACAUUCAGCGACGGGAUGAUGCCCGUCAUGAGGUUCAGCUUCAUGACGAUGAAGGCAAACAUGACGUUCAGUGCGAAGCUCACUGCGAACGCCCUGAACGUCAGCUGCCUCCUCCACGACGGCACCCCCUGGCCCUCGAAGAUCCUCUCCACCAACAGACCGUUGUUCUCGUCCUCCCAGCUCCAGCUCUGGCUCCCACACCCACCCUUCUUCACCUUCCCCUCGGAUUCCGGAUUCAUCCGAUUCUCAUCCUCCGACAACGAGCGGUCGCUUCUCUCUGCCAUCUCCAAUUCGUCUUUGCCGAGGGCCGUUCCCUGCCUGACUUCUGCGACGAUGAUCAGAGCGCCGUAUCAAUGCGAAACAAACACGGCGAAUUUAAAGAGCUGUUCGACCUGCUACUUGCUAAAAGCUCGCAGUGACACCUCGUCGUCGCCUGCUUACCUCAAAUGAGGCCGAGACGACGGAAAUGACGAACGGCCUGAGAAGGACGGAUUUUAACGGCGUUUCUUGCUGGUGCAACUGGAUGAUGAGUACAAAUUUGGGAGUUUCGACCCGCCUACUCCUGGAGGCCAAUCGCAACGGUCACUUUCUCCCGCGCGGGUAAAAUGUCUAGAAACGCUCUAUUGAGAGUUUAGAUUAGAUUAGACUAGUUUGAUGCUAAAAAAAUUGUGAAUAUUUCAAUACGGCUUUCGUUAAAGAAAAAAAAAGGGUUGCGCUGCAAAGACUGACGAUCCCUUCGAGCACAUUGACCGGACACCCAACUGUACGACAUGGUAGCAUACUCUUUUGAUCGAUCGAAUUCAUCGAUUUGGACGGCUCAAGAUCAUCAAAUCCACACGGUUCCGCGUUUAUAGUAAUCUAAUGAGAAUCUGGGGAAUGAAUCGGGUGGGUUAAAAUAUCUGCAUUUUGGCCUUUUGUUAUGUUCGUUUCGUGAUUGAUGUUAACUUGAAGGGUAAUCACAGGGCUUUAAUCAAACAAUCGUUUGAGAGUUUGGAAUAGUCAAUUGUCUAGAGGGAGGCUACAUCGAAGUCACAACGUGCCAGAGAUGACUCAAUCAACCUGCGGCCAAAAGAAUAAAAACCCAAAAAAGAAAGAAAGAAAGAAAAGAAGAUACACCGAAGUUUUUUCAAUUCUCCUAACGUUAUAUUCUUUUUGCAAAAGAUUUCACAAUUCUUUCAUUUACAGAAAAAUACUGCCAAAAGAAAAAAAACUCAAAUUAUACUCACUUUGACAUAAAUAUCCUGAACUUUUUUUGUAUUGCCAAAAACCAUAAACUUGAACAAUGUGACACAAAUUGUGACAUCCGGAAAUUCCCAUGAUUCGAUUAUAAUAUUUAAGAUUAAUUUCCAUAACUAGAUUUCCAUUAAGUUGAUAGAUUUCGCCGUGUACAUUAGUGGUGUAAUAUGGCAAUACUUAACUCGUCACUGUAUUAUUUAUGGAAUAGGGCCGAUAUGUUUUGAAAUUCACAUUUGAUGAUUUUAAGAUUCAAAUAUAUUGAAUUGAGAUUUUUCCUAAUUUUUAAUGUCUUUCAUUGAUGAUUUUAGUGGACUAAAAAUAUUUUAUAGCUGUACUUUGGUUUGAGAUAUUGAACUUGGUAGUUUUGACAUCAUGCAUAAUAUCAUUAAUUUUAACUCUAGUUCAUUGAUGCAUUGGUGAUUCUUGCGCAUACUUGGCCGAGGACCUCAUCUUGAUUUCCAUUAAAAUAUUUUCUCGUGACUAAUUCUUUUGGGCUAAGUGUAUCCUAGCUAGCCACAUAGGAGUCAUUUGAAGCUCAUUCAUUAAAGCACUUACCUUUUAGCUAAAGUUUAAAAUUUCUUUUAACCUUAAUUAAUCAUUACUCUUUCUCUAUAACUAUUGGGAACUCUUUAAAAAUUUUAUUGCCUUGUUCGAAUGAGGAAAACCAUGGCAAGCUUUUGCUUUCCAAAAGUAAAGGUUCCACUUCCUUAACUUUUAACCACCAACUCACUUCUUUAAGUUUUCGUUUUCGAAAACCCACAAAUAGAACUGGAGGUCCCACACUCAAAUUAAUUAAAGUCUAUGUCUCAACCUUUUAAGUCUGAACGAGGUAAAUCUUUUAAUUUCAUACUUCCGCCAAUAGAUUUUGUCAUUUUUAAAAUUAAACAUUGUUGGUUUUCGAUUUUGUUUAGUUCUUUUGGGCCAAGUGUAUCCUAGCUAACCUUAUUGGGGUCAUCGGAAACUCAUUCAUUGAAGCACUCGCCUUUUAGCCAAAGUUUAAAAUUUCUUUUGACCUUGAUUAAUCAUUACUCUUUUUUGAUAACUAUUGAGAACUCUUUAAAAACUUUCUUGCCUUGGUCAUAUGAGGGAAACCAUGACAAGCGUGCGCUUUCCAAAAGUAGAGAUUCCACUUGAUGAACUUUCAACCAUCCACUAACUUCUUCAAGCUUUCACCGUCAAAACCCCACAAAUAAAAACGAAGGUCCCACACUCAAUUUAAUCAAAGUUACUGUCUCAACCUUUUGAAUCUGAACAAGGUAAGUCAUUUAAUUUCACUACUUCCUACCAAUAGAUUUUGUCGUUUUUAAAAUUAAACAUUGUUGAUUUUCGAUUUUGUUUAGUUCUUUUGGGCCAAGUGUAUCCUAGCUAACCUUAUUGGGGUCAUUUGAAGCUCAUUCAUUGAAGCACUCGCCUUUUAGCCAAAGUUUAAAUUUCUUUUAACCUUGAUUAAUCAUUAGUCUUUCUUGAUAACUAUGAGACUCUUAAAAUUUUCUUGCCCNNNNNNNNNNNNNNNNNNNNNNNNNNNNNNNNNNNNNNNNNNNNNNNNNNNNNNNNNNNNNNNNNNNNNNNNNNNNNNNNNNNNNNNNNNNNNNNNNNNNNNNNNNNNNNNNNNNNNNNNNNAGGUCCCAUACUUGAAUUAAUCAAAAGUUUUUAUCUCGAUCUUUUGAAUCUGGACAAGGUAAAUCUUUAAUUUCACCACUUCCUACCAACAUAUUAUGUCGUUUUUAAAAUUACACAUUGUUGAUUUUCAGUUUUGCUUAGUUCUUCUAGGCUGAGUGUAUCCUAGCUAACCUUAUAGGGGUUAUCUGUCCUCAUUUAUUGAAGCACUCACCUUUUAGCCAAAGUUUAAAAUUUCUUUUAACCUUGAUUAAUCAUUGCUUUUUCUUGACAACUAUUGAGAACUCUUUAAAAAAUUUCUUGCCUUGAUUAUAUGAGGAAAACUAACACAGGCGUUCGCUUUCCAAAAGUAGAGGUUCCACUUCAUUAACUUUCAACCACCCACUCACUUCUUCAAGUUUUCAUUUUUGAAAACCCACUAGUAGAAACAGAUGUCCCAUACUCAAAUUAAUCAAAGUUUCUAUCUCAACCUUUUGAGUACGAACGAGGUAAAUCUUUUAAUUUCACUACUUCUUAACAAUAGAUUCUGUCAUUUUUAAAAUUAACCAUUGGCGAUUUUUGGUUUUUGGUUAGUUAUUUUGGGCAAGUGUAUCCUAGCUAACCUUAUAGGAGUCAUUUGAAGCUCAUUCAUUAAAGCACUCACCUUUUACCCAAAGUUUAAAAUUUCUUUUAACCUUGAUUAAUCAUUACACUUUGUGAUAACUAUCGAGAACACUUUAAAAAUUUUCUUGCUUAGUUGUAUCAACAAAACCAUGGCAAGCUUUCGACUUUCAAAAGUAGAGGUUUCACUUCAUUAAUAUUGGAUCACCCACUCACUUCUUCAAGCUUUUGUUUUCAAAAACCCACAAAUGGAAACAGAGAUCCCACACUUGAAAUAAUUAAAGUUUCCGUUUCAACCUUUUGAGUUUUCAUUGCUUCCCACCAACUUUUGUCGUUUUAAAAUUAAGCAUUGUUGAAUUUCAGUUUUGUUUAUUUUGCUUAGGGGUGAUUUAAAGCUCUGAGUCUGAAGUCAAUUUCAAGGUAAGUGAAAAUUUUACGCAUUAAGUUAAUUUAAUUUACUUAAUACUUUUAACUUGGUUGGUUAAUCUAUGUAGUCUUGGUAUGCAAUAAUAGUUCCACUUCUGUCAUUUAUUCGGAUUCACAUUCGGACUCACUUCCUAACUAUAUUCAUUUAUUUGUUCAAAUUCACAUUCAUACUCACAUUCUAAAUAUGUUCAUUUAGUUGUUCAGAUUUAUGUCCAAACUCACUUCGAUUUUGUGAGUCAAUGAGUUGAACUCUCUGUUGUUGGAUGGUAGCGAAAAGAAUCAUGGCCAUUGAAAAAAAAAUUGGUCUCUUGUAAGUUUCAACUCGUCCAAUCCUUUAUACCAAUCCCAACGGUCAAUAUCCCCUACGUGGGUCAAUUUCUAGAAAUGCUCUAGAGAGAUUCGAUGCUAAAAAAAUCGCAGAUUUUAUUUCAAUUCGACACUCGUUAAAAAGAAAAAAAAAAGAGUAAUCAUGCCGGAAAGACUAACGAUCCCUUAAGCACACCGAUCGGAUGCAUGACCCGAAUGACAUGAGGGGCAUCGAAACUUGUCGUCGCAACUGCAUUGAUAGAUAACCUUAGGCUCUCUUCAGCCAAUCGAAUUCGUUGAUGCGGACGGCUCAAGAUCGUCAAACACACACAGUUCCACCGUUUUUAGUAUCUAAUGCGAAUCUGAGGAAUGAAUCACGGAGCUUUAAUCGACAUUCAUUUGAGAUUUUGGACUAAUCAAUUUUGUGGAGUGAGGCAAGAGACUUGUCACAUCGGACCAAGCACAUAGGCCAUCAACAUGCAGCCAAAAGAAGAACAACAACCAAAAGAAUAUACACCAAAGUUUUUUGAAUUCUUCUGUUGCCAUAUUCUUUUUGAGCAAUUUUCAUGAUUCUUUCAUUUAAAGGUAAACACAACAAAGAAACCUAAACUAUAGUCACUGUAACAUAAAUAGUCUUAACUUUUUUGACAUCACAAAAAUUCUAAACUUGUUCAUUGUAAUGUAAAUACCCCAACUUUUUUUGUAUCACGAGAAAAAUUAUAUAUAUAUAUAUACACACACACACACACAUAUCUUCUAUUUUGAUUCCAUCCAAGGUAUAUUUGUCACUUCGAGGUUUUUUAUGAUGGAAAUUGGAGUAUUUAUGUCACGGUGAUCAUAUUUUGAUAUUUUUUCUUAUAGUAAUCAUUCAUUUAAUUCAAAACAUUGCAUGCGCCCCAAAUUACGUAGCCAACAGAGAACAAACAACCAUUAGAAUAAUUUAAAAAGAGCAAGUGAUUUUUAGGCAGCUAGAUAUUUUUUGAUAAUCCAAGCACGAGUCAUAAUCUGGUCCACUUCAAGGGCAUGACACGCUACUUGGGCUUGGGGAACCAUUCACUCGUCGUUUUUGCCCGAAAGACAGUCAUUUCUAAACUUGUCUAUGGUGACACAAAUAUUCAUAACUUUUUUUUUUUUACCACGAAAAAUAUCAUAUAUGCCCUCUAUUUCAGUUCCAUCUAAUGUAUAUCCAUCACACCGUGUCGUUUUUUUUUUUAUGACGCUAAAAAAACUCAAAAGUAUUUGUGUCACAAUGAGUAAGUUUAAAAAAUUCGGGCUUGACAUAAUUUAUGAUUUUUUUAUGGUAGUAAUCGUUCAUUUUAUUCAGAAAAUCACAUUCAUCCCAAGCUACUUGGCCAGCAAAAAACAAACCACGACUGGUACUUUCAAAACGGAAGGUGAUUUUCAGGCAGCUGGAUGUUUUUGGACAAUCCGAACGCGAGUCAUAAUUUGGUUCGCUCCGAAGUGCACGACACGCUGCUUGGACCUUGGGGAAUACUCACUCGUCCUUUAUGUGGAAAAAAAGGUCCUCGCGAGAGUCUCCAUUGGUGGAGAGACAUCGGAGGGUCCAUUUCCGAUAUAUAGCAAGAAUCGAACGAAGACAAUAACAGCGGAGGGUCCAUUUCCGAUAUAUAGCAAGAAUCGAACGAAGACAAGAACAGCGGACGUAUGAACAUCGAUCGUGAAUUUUCAAUGCCUUCUUCAUUGGAACUGGGAGAUUCAGUGUACAGAACGAUUCUUAACCAUCUCCAUCUCGAUGCAAACAGAGACUGUCCCGUCGUAUCGUUUUCUUGAUUGUAUAGCCUGCUGAUGGGGACGAGAAGUCGAAGGAUUUACAUUUCUGACCUUGCUGAAAUCGGAUCUACGUGAAAACAGGGAAUUUUUUAACUAUCCAAACCACUCUUAAGGCCGGAAUCGAUGGAAUGGAAAGAUGGUCUUGGUUUCAAGAGGGGGCUUUGCAUCAUGACUUGCAAGAGGGUCGAGCGGUCAGGGAAAAGAGAACCCUGAUCAAAGGUUACGUGUUACCCCCUGUGAAUCCCGAUCCUGAUAAAAGAGACCGUGAUUCAAGUGGCAUAAGUCCAAGACUCAUGUUCAAGGAAUCGCGUACCGAGGGGGUAACUCGUUUGGCAACAGAGUAAGGCAGAAUGAAUUAACGAAAAAGACAGGGUCCGAUACAACGGGUCACGAUGGGUUGCUUGAAUGACUCGUAUUUCAACUCGCUUGGUCUUCUAAGACUAAAAGCAGAUGCGGAGGCUUAAUUGAGAAGACACUCAAAAUUUCAAAACCGAGAUUGUGCUCUUCUACUCUCCUAUUUUCACCGAUCUCUCGCUUGUAGGUAGCUUGCUUUCGCAUUUGGAAUUGCCGGAUCUAUUUCCAGUUCCUGCAGCAAGUCGAGGCGUUCAAUGCCCUUCCUUCUUCAAUCGCCAUUGCUCUUGACGCAAGUCUUCGAGUUGAGUCGUGCUCCCCUCUCGCUGCUGUUCUCAACGCUAGUGAACCGCAAAGUUACGGUCGACUAUUUUUCUUCAUUCAACGAUACUAAAAACCUAAGUCAUUGUCUCCUUCAACUAGAAAAGAAGAUAGAGAAAUCGGAAAAUUUUAAAACUACAUCAUUCUUAAUUGCACUUAAGUAAUUUGUUUAAUUUAGUUUACGACAAUAGCACCCAGAGUCAUUUUGUUUCUCAUAUCCGAAGACUAAAAACUAUAAUUUGGACCAUUGGCAGACACAGACUCUAAUAUUUCCUACCAACUGUCUGGGGACAGUGUGUAUUCAACUAUUCCAAGAAAAGAAGAGGGUAGUAACAGUUCAAUCUUCCCUAGAGUUUCAUAUUAUCAAUGGUAAUACGUGAAAAUUAUAAUUGGCUACUGCCAGAAUGUGGAUUCUAUAAGGCAUGAAGAGAAGCACCGAAGACAGUUGGGUUACAUACAAGAGCAAUUUCGCAGCUCCUAGCUGCUACGACUGCUUCACUGGGAUUUUGGGAGAUUGCAGGAAAAACAGGAAGAUAGAGCAGAUCAUGACGUCCAUCUAGAGACUUGCGAUGUGCUUGAGAUUUCACGCCAUCUUCAUGAGUCUAAACUGCAGGACUAAGAUCCCAGGAAGGCAUCGACUCUCUUGUUCGCGGCUCUUGAUAGGAACUUCAUGCAAAUUGGUGGAUUAACCCCUGCCAAAGCAAGUAUUGAGCUAGGCAAUGUCCAUAUGCCAUCCCCACAAAUCAGACCUGAGGCUACCGCUGGCCCAAAUGCAUCAGCCUUGGUUUUGUUGAUUUUCUCCCAGAUGAACAGGAUUAGGCUACCAACGCACAUAUCGAUGGCAAAGUAUGGCCCUAUGUAGAAGGGUAUUGCCAUAGCCAUUGGCAGCGGGAUGAAACGGGCCCACUUCUUACCGACUAAAUCCCUGAACCCAUUUAUGAUCAUGGCAGCCGCAAAAAAACCGUAGCAGAGCAUGAGGCAGUGUUUGGGCAAGGAAGAGAAGCCUUCCACCCCAAGUUCGGCCAUGCUGCGAUAAACAGUUCCGAAGGGGACAGGAUAUUCACUUCCUGGGAGUCCAAGAUCCUUAAAGGCCUUGUAGAAAAGCCAAAAGACACAGGGAGAGAUAACGCAGCCCAUGGCAGUACCGAUCACCUGACUCACGAACAUGGACCGCGGUGAAGCCAGGGUCAGAUAGCCUGUCUUGAAGUCUUGAGUCAGGUCCGAGGCUGUAGAUACAAUAUUCAUCAUGACCCCACAGGCAGCUAAACCAGCAAGAAUUCCACCAUGUGAGGCACCGGCCCAUGCCCCAAUUACGAAGAUGGCAAGCUUCCCAUAAGUCGAGACAAGAGACCAGUCGGUGAGCCCACAGCCAUAGGCAUUGCAGAAACCCAAGGUUGGAGCGAAGAGAUAGAUGACUAGGAUGUAAUACCAUUUGAGUUGGGGGAACAUGUGUGGAAGAGUAGCUGUGGAUAUGGCUGCUAUUGCGACAUACCCUGCAACUGCAAACCAUGUAGGGAUUUGAUCUUUUAGGAAAAGCUGUGUCCGUCGUUGGUCAUCGUAAGACACUUGAGGGUUCUCAGGAGAGGAACCAUUCGCAAUGGGGAGAACAUGACUCAUUUCUGUGUCUCGGAGAUGAUGGUACAGGCCAGAGAGCGUUCGGCCAAGCACCUUGAAGAAGUUGUAGAGCCCAUCACCCAAUAUCGUGGCAAUGGCAAUGAAAACCUGACAAAUUGGUGUUGUAAGAUUAGAGGAUAAAGAAAAGACAAACAAACUUGCACAUUUGCAUGUAUAUCUUGACUUGCCUUAUAACCUUGAAGUCCGCGCAUGCUGGUUGGGCUUGCCUCUGCAGGAUACCAAUGUCCCUUUCUGGUUUCUAUUAGAGGCCACAUUAAACCCCAGGAUAGAAUUCCUCCUAGUAGCACUGAGAUAUUUAUGAUGUAUGGGCAAAUCAUCCCAACUCCAACAUAUGUUGCGGAGAAAUCAAAGUAAAACCUUCACGUUAUCCAUGUAAGAGAGUCAGCUAAUAGCUUUGCUUAUUAAAGUGCAUGACAUCGAAAUAAAGGCCAGCUUACAGCACAAAAGUAGUUGCAGACUGUAAAGUUGAAGUUUGUUAAGCUUAUGCACCUGUUUUGGAAAGCCUUAAGCCCCAAAGUGGGGAAGUUUGUAAAACCACAACCAUCUCCUGCUGUGUAGAACCAUUGGAAAAAACCCCAUAAGAAGCUGAAGGAAAAGAACUUUCCCAAUGCCUUCACUUGUUUCCUUCAGGAGAAAAAUUAAAGCCAAUGAGAGCCAACAUAUUGACACACUAACGAGAAGGCAUUCCAGCUUAUAGCGUCUUACUUAGCCAGCUUGGCUCCUUGAGGUGUGUGGAAACUAUUUAUAAGAUGAGCAGUUGCCGUGCCGCUAGGAUAUGUUAACUUGAAGUCAAUAAUCAUAAUCUGAAACAAGAGAAAGGCAAGCGUGAGUGAAGUACUUGAAACAGUACAUGGAAGCCCCCACAGUUUGAUUCCUUAUGGCCAAAGAGAAUCUUUUCAAGUGAAGUGUAUUGUGGAGAUUAAUUGGAAAUUACUAUAAUUUGAACGACAUUUUCAAGGGCAAGUGCUACAGAAAAAAACAUGCAACGUGCAAAGAGUACCUUUCGGAGAGGCACCACAGCAAAGAGGCCUAGAAAACUGACAACAAAUAGAAAACCAAUCAUCCACGCCAGUGAUGGGUUUUUGAAAACAUGAGCGCUCUGCGGAUCCGUUGAUUGACCAGCAACCCGCGCACUCAUUGCAAAGAGAUAACUCCCGAAACCUCCUGCUCAUACAAAAUCACAGAGCAACACAUUUUCCAGUAAAUAGCUCUAGCUAUUCAUCUAAAAACAAUACGCAAGUUUACGUCUCUUAUAAUUACUUUCUUCAAUCAAAUUCAGAGAGAUUAUUAUUGGAUAGAAAGUCGCCCUUAUUUCUAACACGUGAUAAAGGGAGGUUAAUGACGAAAGACAGACCACUUUAGUCGAAUAGAUGUUCCAUAUGAAACAGAAGAAGAGCCUUUUUAUCAUUUUUGUUGAGAGAAGCAGAGGUUUAUAGUACUUUCCAGUCAACUAUUUUUCUUUCUUUUCCAGCUGAAAUACAUUUCAAGCAACUGAAACAACGGUAAACCAUGACAAUAAAGUGGGAAAAUGAAUUGAAUUGAACAAGCAGUGGUCUGGCCCAAAAGGAAAAGAAGCAGUGGUGACAAUAGGUAGGUAAAUUCGCUAUCGGCAACUGACUUUUUUUGGAGAUUGUUAGCAAACGAGCAUGGACUCAAACUUAGGGGAGGUUCCUUCAUUUUUGCAUAGUUGCAUCCAUACAUCUGAAUGAUAACUUCAAAGGAUUAAAUGAGCAUUAUUGCUGCAUGCCCCUUGAGCUCAUUGGCAUUGGUUAUCACAGAAUAUGUUCCAAGAAACACAUGACCUCAGAUAUGCACAUGAAAUUGGUGUGCUGACUAUUCAAUAUGGUUAUGGCCAAAUACCCUACUUUGUGUUGUUUAUAUAGAAACAACCCUUCUACAUGCCAUCUGUGGAUAUGCAGUACAGUUCAUUUAGAGUCCAUGAGACUAACAUUUUUCUAAGCGACCGGUGUUCCUGUGCAAAAGAGGUCAUAAAAGGGGACUCUUAAAUCAAUGGGCAAACUUUUAGGUCUGUCUCAUUUAAGUUUCUUGCUGUCUUGAGCGCAAAUUGUUCAUGUACAGUUUGUUAUAUGUAACUUAUUCCGAAAUAGAGAAAUUGUACAAAACAGUGAAACAAAAUAUAAGCAUUAUUAGACAAGACCUUUUAUAACGAUCCAGUGGUUCUGUUGUCAUUCCAUUCAAUCAGUUUUUUUCCUUCAACAGCUUGAGAAGAGAUAUAAAGAUAUCAUAUAAAACAAUCCAGCCUCUUCGAUUACAAGCGACAAAGAGCAUGUCAGCAGACAUUAACUGCUAAAACAGAGCACUUCACAGUUCGCGGUAUCUCAAACUGCAGCUAAGAGUGAAAGACGAGCCAACAUACCACUGAAAGCGAUGCCGGAGGAAGCCACCACGCAGGUCUGGAUCACCGUGUUCUCCUGCCGCGUGAAGGGGACCUGGAGCAGCCCGGACUUGUCCAGGACCUUGGUCCACGUCUUGACGAAGAAGAACCCAAGGAGCCCCGCCGAGACGUUCAGUGAUGGGAUAAUGCCCGCCGUGAGGUUCAGCUUCAUGACGAUGAAGGCGAACAUGAUGCUCAGCAUGAAGCUCACCGCAAACGCCCUGAACGUCAGCUGCCUCCCCCACGACGGCACCGCCUGGCCCUCGAAGAUCCUCUCCGCUGACAGGCCGUUGCUCUCGUCCUGCCCCCUCCGGCUCCGGCUCCCACCCUUCUUCUUCUCUGCCUCGGAAUCCGGAUUCAUCCGGUUCUCAUCCUCCGACAACGAGCGGUCGCUUCUCUCCGCCAUCUCUGAUUCGUCUUUGCCGAGGACCAUUCUCCGCCUGACUUCUACGACGAUGAUCAGAGCGUCGGAUCAAUGCGAAACAAACACAGCGAAUUCAAAGAGCUUUUCGACCUGCUACUUGCUAAAACUCGCUUGUCUCGCCAUCCACUUCACUUCGGUCGGUUUACCAUUUCUACUUCCCGCGUUCCCACCGCAACAGCGACAUCUCGUCGUGGCCUGCUUACCUCAAAUGAGACUGAGACGAUGGAAACGACGAACUGUCCGAAAAGGACAGAUUUUGUCGGCGUUUCUUGCUGGUGCCAUGUGAGUUUCAACCCGCCCGUUCCUUCAUACCAAAUCGCAACGGUCGGUUUCUCCCAUGCGCGGGUAAAAAUCUCCAGAAAUGCUCCAUCUUGACUCGAGAUAGAUUAGAUUAGAUUAGAUUAGUAGGAUGCUCAAAAAGUUGCAGAUUUUAUUUCAAUUUGACAAUUAUUUGAAAAGAAAAAAAUUCGGUCCCGCAGCAAAGACUGAUGAUCCCUUCGAGCACAUUGAUCAGAUGCGCGACCCAAACCACAUAGGAGCGUAGAUCAAAUUCGUUAAUUUGGACAGCUGAAGAUCGUCAAAUUCACGCGGUUCCCAUGUUUACAGUAAUCUAAUGUGGAUCUGGGGAAUGAAUCGGGUGGGCUAAAAUAUUUGCAUUUUGGCCUUGCGUUUUGUUCGUUUCGUGAUUGAUGUGACUUGCAGAUUAAUGACAUGGCUUUAAUCAACAUUCAUUUGAGAUUUUGGACUAAUCAAUUGUCUAGAGUGAGGCUAGAUCAUUGUCACAACGUAAUAAAGAUGGCUUCAUCAACCUGCGGCCAAAAGAAGGAAAACAAAAGGAGAGAGAAUAUACACCAAAGUAUUUUCAAUUCUUCUACCGCUAUUUUCUUUCUGCGGACUUUUCACGAACUUUCAUUUAGGGGCAAAUAUUACAAAAAAAAAAAAAAAAACCCUCAAAUAAUACCCAAUAUAAUAUAAAUAUCACAAAUUGUUUGUUUUUUUUUUUGUUUUUUUUUUUUUGCUGGAGGAACCGCUUUGGCCAAGAGCGUAUCACUUAAAACCCUAAACUUGAAUAGUAUGACACAAAUUGUGACAUUCGGAAAUUCCCAUGAUUCGAUAAUAAUAUUUAAGGUUAAUUUCCACAACCAGAUCGCCAAGAGUCUAAGAUGUUAAGGUUAAGUUGAUAAAUUAUGGCAUGUACAUUAAUGGUGUAGGACGACGAUACUUAACUUGUCACCAUAUUUAUUUAUAGAGUAGAGCCGGUGUGCUAUGAAAUUCAUAUUUAAUGAUAUUCAAGAUUCAAAUCUAUGGAAUUGAAAUUUUUCUAAUUUUUAAUGUCUUUCAUUGAUGACUUUAGUGGACUCAAAAAAUUUUACACCUAUACUUUGGUUUGAGAUAUUGAACUCGGUAGCUUUGACAUCAUGCAUAAUUUCGUCAAUUAAUGCAUUGGUGAUUCAUGCACAUACUUGGCCGAAGAAGAGGACCCCAUCUUCAUUUCUAUCAUAGGAGUCAUUUGAAGCUUAUUGACCGAAGCACUUACGUUUUAGCUAAAGUUUAAAAUUUCUUUUAACCUUGAUGAAUCAUUACUCCAGAGAACUCUUAAAUAUUUUCUUGCCUUGGUCAUAUGAGGAAAACCAUGGCAAGCUUUCGCUUUCCAAAAGUUGAGGUUCCACUUCAUUAAAUGUCAACCACCCACUCACGUCUUCAAACUUUCAUUUUCAAAAAGCCACAAAUGAAAACAGAGGUCCCACACUCAAAUUAAUCAAAUACUUGAAUUAAUCAAAGUUUUUGUCUCAACCUUUUAAGUCUGAAUGAGAUAAGUCAUUUAAUUUCACUACUUCAUGCCAACAGAUUCUACCAUUUUUAAAAUUAAACAUUGUUGAUUUUCGGUUUUGUUUAGUUUGCUUAAAGGUGAUUUAAAGCUCCGAGUCUGAAGUCACUUUCAAGGUAAGCGAAAACUCUAGAUAUUAAGUUGGCUUAAUCUACUUAAAUAUAUAUAUAGUAUACACCAGAGUUUUUCCAAUUCUUCUAUAGUUAUAUUCUUUUCGCGAAAUUUUUACAAUUUUUUUAUUUAAGGGAAAAUACCAUAAAAACUAUAAAAAAAAAUACCAUGAAAAAACCUAAAUUAUUUUCACUAUGAUAUAUAUAUCCCAAACUUUUUUUAUGUCACAAAAAUCAUAAAGUUGCCAACUUUAACACAAAUAUCCCCAAUUUUCUUGUAUCACGAAAAAAUUGGAGUAUUUAUAUCACAAUAAUCAUAAUUUGAGAUUUUUUGUAGUAGUAAUCAUUCAUUUAAUACAAAAUAUCACAUUUGUCCCAAGUUACAUUGCCAGCUAAAAACAUAUUACUAUUGGUUUUUUUUUUUUUAAUAAAGAGCAGGUUAUUUUCAAGCAGCUGUAUAUUUUUGAACAGUCCAAACACGAGUCUUACUCCAGUUUGCUUCGAAGGGCAUGACACGCUAAAAGCUUGCAGCGACUCCCCGUCGUGGCCUACUUACCUCAAAUGAGGCCGAGACGACGGAAAUGACGAACGGCCUGAGAAGGACGGAUUUUGACGGCGUUUCUUGCUGCUGACUGGAUGAUGAGUACAACUUUGGGAGUUUCGACCCGCCCACUCCUGGAGGCCAAUCGCAACGGUCACUUUCUCCCGCGUGGGUAAAAUAUCUAGAAACGCUCCAUUGAGAGUUUAGAUUAGAUUAGAUUAGUUUGAUGCUAAAAAAAUUGUGAAUAUUUCAGUACGACGCUCGUUAAAGAAAAAAAAAGAGGUUGCGCUGCAAAGACUGACGAUCCCUUUGAGCACAUUGACCGGACACCCAACCUGUACGACAUGGGGAGCAUACUCUUUUUGGUCGAUCGAAUUCAUCGAUUUGGACGGCUCAAGAUCAUCAAAUCCACACGGUUCCCGCGUUUAUAGUAAUCUAAUGAAAAUCUGGGGAAUGAAUCGGGUGGGUUAAAAUAUCUGCAUUUUGGCCUUUUGCUAUGUUCGUUUCGUGAUUGAUGUUAACUUGUAGGGUAAUCACAGGGCUUUAAUCAAACAAUCGUUUGAGAGUUUGGAAUAGUCAAUUGUCUAGAGGGAGGCUACAUCGAAGCCACAACGUGCCAAAGAUGACUUAAUCAACCUGCGGCCAAAAGAAUAAAAAUAGAAAGAAAGAAAGAAAGAAAGAAAAGAAAAUACACCAAAGUUUUUUCAAUUCUCCUAACGUUAUAUUCUUUUUGCAAAAGAUUUCACAAUUCUUUCAUUUACAGAAAAAUACCGCCAAAAAAAAAAAACUCAAAUUAUACUCACUUUGACAUAAAUAUCCUGAACUUUUUUUGUAUUGCCAAAAACCAUAAACUUGAACAAUGUGACACACAUUGUGACAUCCGGAAAUUCUCAUGAUUCGAUUAUAAUAUUUAAGAUUAAUUUCCAUAACUAGAUUUCCAUUAAGUUGAUAGAUUUCGCUGCGUACAUUAGUGGUGUAAUAUGGCAAUACUUAACUCGUCACCAUUUUAUUUAUGGAAUAGGGCCGAUAUGUUUUGAAAUUCACAUUUGAUGAUAUUUAAAAUUCAAAUAUAUUGAAUUGAGAUUUUUCCUAAUUUUUAAUGUCUUUCAUUGAUGAUUUUAGUGGACUAAAAAUAUUUUAUAGCUGUACUUUGGUUUGAGAUAUUGAACUGGGUAGCUUUGACAUCAUGCAUAAUAUCAUUAAUUUUAACUCUAGUUCAUUGAUGCAUUGGUGAUUCUUGCGCAUACUUGGCCGAGGACCUCAUCUUGAUUUCCAUUAAAAUAUUUUCUCGUGACUAAUUCUUUUGAGCUAAGUGUAUCCUAGCUAGCCACAUAGGAGUCAUUUGAAGCUCAUUCAUUAAAGCACUUACCUUUUAGCUAAAGUUUAAAAUUUCUUUUAACCUUAAUCAAUCAUUACUCUUUCUCUACAAGAAGUGAGUUGGUGGUUAAAAGUUAAUGAAGUGAGUUGGUGGUUAAAAGUUUAUUGCCUUGUUCGUAUGAGGAAAACCAUGGCAAGCUUUUGCUUUCCAGAAGUAGAGGUUCCACUUCAUUAACUUUUAACCACCAACUCACUUCUUUAAUUUUUCCUUUUAAGUCUGAACGAGGUAAAUCUUUUAAUUUCAUACUUUUGCCAAUAGAUUUUGUCAUUUUUAAAAUUAAACAUUGUUGGUUUUCGAUUUUGUUUAGUUCUUUUGGGCCAAGUGUAUCCUAGCUAACCUUAUUGGGGUCAUUGGAAACUCAUUCAUUGAAGCACUCGCCUUUUGGCCAAAGUUUAAAAUUUCUUUUGACCUUGAUUAAUCAUUACUCUUUUUUGAUAACUAUUGAGAACUCUUUAAAAAAUUUCUUGCCUUGGUCAUAUGAGGAAAACCAUGACAAGCGUGCGCUUUCCAAAAGUAGAGAUUCCACUUGAUGAACUUUCAACCACCCACUAACUUCUUCAAGCUUUCGUCGUCAAAAACCCACAAAUAAAAACGAAGGUCCCACACUCAAAUUAAUCAAAGUUACUGUCUCAACCUUUUGAAUCUGAACAAGGUAAGUCAUUUAAUUUCACUACUUCCUACCAAUAGAUUUUGUCGUUUUUAAAAUUAAACAUUGUUGAAUUUUUAAAAUUAAACAUUGUUGAUUUUCGAUUUUGUUUAGUUCUUUUGGGCCAAGUGUAUCCUAGCUAACCUUAUUGGGGUCAUUUGAAGCUCAUUCAUUGAAGCACUCGCCUUUUAGCCAAAGUUUAAAUUUCUUUUAACCUUGAUUAAUCAUUAGUCUUUCUUGAUAACUAUUGAGAACUCUUUAAAAAUUUUCUUGCCCUUAUCGUAUGAGGAAAACCAUGACAAGCAUUUCCUUUCCCAAAGUAGAGGUUCCACUUCAACUUUCAAUCACCCAUUCACUUUUUCCCGCUUUCGUUUUCAAAAACCUACAAGUAGAAACAGAGGUCCCAUACUUGAAUUAAUCAAAGUUUCUAUCUCGAUCUUUUGAAUCUGGACAAGGUAAAUCUUUAAUUUCACCACUUCCUACCAACAUAUUAUGUCGUUUUUAAAAUUACACAUUGUUGAUUUUCAGUUUUGCUUAGUUCUUUUAGGCCAAGUGUAUCCUAGCUAACCUUAUAGGGGUUAUCUGUCCUCAUUCAUUGAAGCACUCACCUUUUAGCCAAAGUUUAAAAUUUCUUUUAACCUUGAUUAAUCAUUGCUUUUUCUUGACAACUAUUGAGAACUCUUUAAAAAAUUUCUUGCCUUGAUUAUAUGAGGAAAACUAACACAGACGUUCGCUUUCCAAAAGUAGAGGUUCCACUUCAUUAACUUUCAACCACCCACUCACUUCUUCAAGUUUUCAUUUUUGAAAACCCACUAGUAGAAACAGAUGUCCCAUACUCGAAUUAAUCAAAGUUUCUAUCUCAACCUUUUGAGUAUGAACGAGGUAAAUCUUUUAAUUUCAAUACUUCUUAACAAUAGAUUCUUUCAUUUUUAAAAUUAACCAUUGGUGAUUUUUGGUUUUUGGUUAGUUAUUUUGGGCAAGUGUAUCCUAGCUAACCUUAUAGGAGUAAUUUGAAGCUCAUUCAUUAUAGCACUCACCUUUUACCCAAAGUUCAAAAUUUCUUUUAACCUUGAUUAAUCAUUACACUUUGUGAUAACUAUCGAGAACACUUUAAAAUUUUUCUUGCCUUAGUUGUAUCAACAAAACCAUGGCAAGCUUUCGACUUUCAAAAGUAGAGGUUUCACUUCAUUAAUAUUGGAUCACCCACUCACUUCUUCAAGCUUUUGUUUUCAAAAACCCACAAAUGGAAACAGAGAUCCCACACUUGAAUUAAUUAAAGUUUCUGUUUCAACCUUUUGAGUUUUCAUUGCUUCCCACCAACUUUUGUCGUUUUAAAAUUAGGCAUUGUUGAAUUUCAGUUUUGUUUAUUUUGCUUAGGGGUGAUUUAAAGUUCUGAGUCUGAAGUCAAUUUCAAGGUAAGUGAAAAUUUUACACAUUAAGUUAAUUUAAUCUACUUAAUACUUUUAACUUGGUUGGUUGAUCUAUGUAGUCUUGGUAUGCAAUAAUAGUUCCACUUCUGUCAUUUAUUCGGAUUCACAUUCGGACUCACUUCCUAACUAUAUUCAUUUAUUUGUUCAAAUUCACAUUCAUACUUACAUUCUAAAUAUGUUCAUUUAGUUGUUCAGAUUUACGUCCAAACUCACUUCGAUUUUGUGAGUCAAUGAGUUGAACACUCUGUCGUUCGAUGGCAGCGAAAAGAAUCAUGGCCAUUGAAAAAAAAAAUUGGUCUCUUGUGAGUUUCAACUCACCCAAUCCUUUAUACCAAUCGCAACGGUCGAUAUCCCCUGCAUGGGUCAAUUUCUAGAAAUGCUCUAUCGAGAGAUUCGAUGCUCAAAAAAUCGCAGAUUUUAUUUCAAUUCAACACUCGUUAAAAAGAAAAAAAAGAAGAAGAUCAAUCAUGCCGGAAAGACUAACCACCCCUUAAGCACACCGAUCGGAUGCAUGACCCGAAUGACAUGAGGGGCAUCGAAACUUGUUGUCGCAACUGCAUUGAUAGAUAACCUUAGGCUCUCUUCAACCAAUCGAAUUCGUUGAUGCGGACGGCUCAAGAUCGUCAAACACACAUGGUUCCACCGUUUUUAGUAUCUAAUGCGAAUCUGGGGAAUGAAUCACGGAGCUUUAAUCGACAUUCAUUUGAGAUUUUGGACUAAUCAAUUUUGUGGAGUGAGGCAAGAGACUUGUCACUUCGGACCAAGCACAUAUGCCAUGCCAUCAACAUGCAGCCAAAAGAAGAAAAACAACCAAAAGAAUAUACGCCAAAGUUUUUUGAAUUCUUCCGUUGCCAUAUUCUUUUGGGUUAAUACCCUGAAAAACCCUAAACUGGUACACUUGUGACAAAUUUACCCCAAACUAUUUUUUUGACCACCAAAAACCCUAAACUAGUAUGCCUUUGACAAAUUUACCCCAAAUCGGUACACUUUUGACAAAUUUACCCUUUGUUAGUUUUCAUUAAAUUUAUUGUCAAAUUAUUAAGUCAAAUGACACGUGACAAUUGACCGGUAUACCAAUUUGAGAUUUUACGCUCUAUUCGUCACAGUUUACAAUUUUUUUUUUGAUUUUUUUGUGAUAUUAAUUCAAUUUAGCGGAUGGUAUAUUUAUCACAAAUUUACUAAUUUAGGGUUUUUUUGCGGUCGAAUAAAUUAGUUUGGGGUAAAUUUGUCAUAAAUGUACAAAUUUAUGGUUUUUUAUGGUCAGUCGGGGUAAAUUUGUCACAGGUGUACCAGUUUGGGGUUUUUCAUGGUAAAAAAAUAGUUUGAGGUAAAUCUGUCACAGGUGUACCAGUUUGGGGUUUUUUUUAGGGUAUUAACCCUAUUCUUUUUGUGCAAUUUUCAUGAUUCUUUCAUUUAAAGGUAAACACAACAAAGAAACCUAAACUAUAGUCACUGUAACAUAAAUACUCUUAACUUUUUUGACAUCACAAAAAUUCUAAACUUGUUCAUUAUAAUGUAAAUACCCCAACUUUUUUUGUAUCACGAGAAAAAUUAUAUAUAUAUAUAUAUAUAUCUAUAUAUAUCUUCUAUUUUGAUUCCAUCCAAGGUAUAUUUGUCACUUCAAGGUUUUUUAUGAUGGAAAUUGGAGUAUUUAUGUCACGGUGAUCAUAUUUUGAUAUUUUUUGUUAUAGUAAUCAUUCAUGUAAUUCAAAACAUUGCAUUCGCCCCAAAUUACGUAGCCAACAGAGAACAAACAACCAUUAGAAUAAUUUAAAAAGAGCAAGUGAUUUUCAGGCAGCUAGAUAUUUUUUGAUAAUCCAAGCACGAGUCAUAAUCUGGUCCACUUCGAAGGGCAUGACACGCUACUUGGGCUUGGGGAACCAUUCACUCGUCGUUUUUGCCCGAAAGACGGUCAUUUCUAAACUUGUCUAUGGUGACACAAAUAUUCAUAACUUUUUUUUAUCACCAAAAAAAGCAUACAUGCCCUCUAUUUCAGUUCCAUCUAAUGUAUAUCCGUCACACCGUGUCAGUUUUUUUUUUCAUGAUUUUAAAAAAACUCAAAGGUAUUUGCGUCAAUAAGUUUAAAAAAUUCAGGCUUGACAUAAUUUAUGAUUUUUUUUUAUGGUAGUAAUCGUUCAUUUUAUUCAGAAAAUCACAUUCAUCCCAAGCUACUUGGCCAGCAAAAAACAAACCACGACUGGUACUUUCAAAACGGAAGGUGAUUUUCAGGCAGCUGGAUGUUUUUGGACAAUCCGAACGCGAGUCAUAAUUUGGUUCGCUCCGAAGUGCACGACACGCUGCUUGGAGUUCGCUCCGAAGUGCACGACACGCUGCUUGGACCUUGGGGAAUACUCACUCGUCCUUUAUGUGGAAAAAAAGGUCCUCGCGAGAGUCUCCAUUGGUGGAGAGACAUCGGAGGGUCCAUUUCCGAUAUAUAGCAAGAAUCGAACGAAGACAAUAACAGCGGAGGGCCCAUUUUUGUGGAAAGAAAGGUCCUCGCGAGAGUCUCCAUUGGUGGAGACAUCGGAGGGUCCAUUUCCGAUAUAUAGCAAGAAUCAAACGAAGACAAGAACAGCGGACGUAUGAACAUCGAUCGUGAAUUUUCAAUGCCUUCUUCAUUGGAACUGGGAGAUUCAGUGUACAGAACGAUUCUUAACCAUCUCCAUCUCGAUGCAAACAGAGACUGUUCCGUCGUAUCGUUUUCUUGAUCGUAUAGUCUGCUGAUGGGGACGAGAAGUCGAGGGAUUUACAUUUCUGACCUUGCUGAAAUCGGAUCUAUGUGAAAACAGGGAAUUUUUUAACUAUCCAAACCACUCUUAAGGCCGGAAUCGAUGGAAUGGAAAGAUGGUCCUGGUUUCAAGAGGGGUUUUUGCAUCAUGACUUGCAAGAGGGUUGAGCGGUCAGGGAAAAGAGAAUCCUGAUCAAAGGUUACGUGUUACCCCCUGUGAAUCCUGAUCCUAAUAAAAAGAGGCCGUGAUUCAAGUGGCAUAAGUCCAAGACUCAUGUUCAAGGAAUCCCGUACCGAGGGGGUAACUCGUUUGGCAACGGAAUAAGGCAGAAUGAAUUAACGAAAAAGACAAGGUCCGAUACAACGGGUCACGAUGGGUUGCUUAAACGACUCGUAUUUCAACUCGCUUGGUCUUCUAAGACUAAAAGCAGAUGCGGAGGCUUAAUUGAGAAGACACUCAAAAUAUCAAAACCGAGUUUGUGCUCCUCCUCUCCUAUUUUCACCGAUCUCUCGCUUGUAGGUAGCUUGCUUUCGCAUUUGGAAUUGCCGGAUCUAUUUCCAGUUCCUGCAGCAAGUAAAGGCGUUCGUGCUCUUCCCUCUUCAAUCGCCAUUGCUCUUGACGCAAGUCUUCGAGUUGAGUCGGGCUCCCCUCUCGCUGCUGUUCUCAACGCUAGUGAACCGCAAAGUUACGGUCGACAAUUUUUCUUCAUUCAACGAUACUAAAAACCUAAGUCAUUGUCUCCUUUAACUAGACAAGAAUAUAGAGAAAUCGGAAAAUUUUAAAACUACAUCAUUCUUAAUUGCACUUAAGUAAUUUGUUUAAUUUAGUUUACGACGGUAGCACCCAGAGUCAUUUUUUUUUCUCAUAUUCGAAGACUAAAAACUAGAAUUUGACCAUUGGCAGACACAGACUAAUAUUUCCUACCGUCUGGGGACAAUGUGUAUUCAACUAUUCCAAGAAAAAAAGAGGGUAGUAGCAGUUCAAUCUUCCCUAAAGUUUCAUUUUGGCAAUGGUAAUACGUGAAAAUUAUAAUUGGCUACUGCCAGAAAUGUGGAUUCUGUAAGGCAUGAAGAGAAGCACCAAAGACAGUUGGGUUACAUACAAGAGCAAUUUCGCAGCUCCUAGCUGCUACGACUGCUUCACUGGGAUUUUGGGAGAUUGCAGGAAAAACAGGAAGAUAGAGCAGUUCAUGAUGUCCAUCUAGAGACUGCAACGUGCUUGAGAUUUCACGCCAUCUUCAUGAGUCUAAACUGCAGGACUAAGAUCCCAGGAAGGCAUCAACUGUCUUGUUUGUGGCUCUUGAUAGGAACUUCAUACAAAUUGGUGGAUUAACCCCUACGACAGCGAGUAUUGAGCUAGCCAAUGUCCAUAUGCCAUCCCCACAAAUCAGACCUGAGGCUACCGCUGGCCCAAAUGCGUCGGCCUUGGCUUUGUUGGUUUUCUCCCAGAUGAACAGGAUUAAGCUACCAACGCACAUAUCAAUGGCAAAGUAUGGCCCUAUGUAGAAGGGUAUUGCCAUAGCCAUUGGCAGCGGGAUGAAACAGGCCCACUUCUUACCAACUAAGUCCCUAAACCCAUUUAUGAUCAUGGCCGCCGCAAAAAAACCGUAGCAGAGCGUGAGGCAGUGUUUGGGCAAGGAAGAGAAGCCUUCCACCCCAAGUUCGGCCAUGCUGCGAUAAACAGUUCCGUAGGGGACAGGAUAUUCACUUCCUAGGUGUCCAAGAUCCUUAAAGGCCUUGUAAAAAAGCCAAAAGAUGCAGGGAGAGAUAACGCAGCCCAUGGCAGUACCGAUCACCUGACUCACAAACAUGGACCGCGGUGAAGCCAAGGUCAGAUAGCCUGUCUUGAAGUCCUGAAUCAGGUUCGAGGCUAUAGAUACAAUAUUCACCACGACUCCACAUGCGGCUAAACCAGCAAGAAUUCCACCAUGUGAGGCACCGGCCCAUGCCCCAAUCACGAAGAUGGCAAGCUUCCCAUAAGUCGAGGCAAGAGACCAGUCGGUGAGCCCACAACCAUAGGCAUUGCAGAAACCCAAGGUUGGAGCGAAGAGAUAGAUGACUAAAAUGUAAUACCAUUUGAGUUGGGGGAAUAUGUGCGGAAGAGUAGCUGUGGAUAUGGCUGCUAUUGUGACAUACCCUGCAACUGCAAACCAG
rnacentral:lncRNA from 1 species